rnacentral:rRNA from 1 species
GCCCAGACUCCUACGGGAGGCAGCAGUCGGGAAUAUUGCGCAAUGGAGGAAACUCUGACGCAGUGACACCGCGUACAGGAAGAAGGUUUUCGGAUUGUAAACUCUUGUCGUUAGGGAAGAUAAAAGAUUGUACCUAAGGAGGAAGCCCCGACUAACUAUGUGCCAGCAGCCGCGGUAAUACAUAGGGGGCAAGCGUUAUCCGGAAUUAUUGGGUGUAAAGGGUGCGUAGACGGAGAAACAAGUUGGUUGUGAAAUCGCGCGGCUCAACCGAGGAACUGCAACCAAAACUAUUUCCCUUGAGUGUCGGAGAGGAAAGUGGAAUUCCUAGUGUAGCGGUGAAAUGCGUAGAUAUUAGGAGGAACACCAGUGGUGAAGGCGGCUUGCUGGACGAUGACUGACGCUGAUGCUCGAAAGCGUGGGGAGCAAACAGGAUUAGAUACCCGUGUA